rnacentral:rRNA from 1 species
AGAGUUUGAUUUAUGGCUCAGGACGAACGCUGGCCGGCGUGCCUAAUACAUGCAAGUCGAGCGGACUUGACGGAAGCUUGCUUCCGUUCAAGUUAGCGGCGGACGGGUGAGUAACACGUGGGUAACCUGCCUGUAAGACUGGGAUAACUCCGGGAAACCGGGGCUAAUACCGGAUAUUCUUUUUCUUCGCAUGAAGAAGAAUGGAAAGGCGGCUUUUAGCUGUCGCUUACAGAUGGACCCGCGGCGCAUUAGCUAGUUGGUGAGGUAACGGCUCACCAAGGCAACGAUGCGUAGCCGACCUGAGAGGGUGAUCGGCCACACUGGGACUGAGACACGGCCCAGACUCCUACGGGAGGCAGCAGUAGGGAAUCUUCCGCAAUGGACGAAAGUCUGACGGAGCAACGCCGCGUGAGUGAAGAAGGUUUUCGGAUCGUAAAGCUCUGUUGUCAGGGAAGAACAAGUACGGAAGUAACUGUCCGUACAAAAAACGGUACCUGACCAGAAAGCCACGGCUAACUACGUGCCAGCAGCCGCGGUAAUACGUAGGUGGCAAGCGUUGUCCGGAAUUAUUGGGCGUAAAGCGCGCGCAGGCGGCUUCUUAAGUCUGAUGUGAAAGCCCACGGCUCAACCGUGGAGGGUCAUUGGAAACUGGGAGGCUUGAGUGCAGAAGAGGAGAGCGGAAUUCCACGUGUAGCGGUGAAAUGCGUAGAGAUGUGGAAAACACCAGUGGCGAAGGCGGCUCUCUGGUCUGUAACUGACGCUGAGGCGCGAAAGCGUGGGGAGCGAACAGGAUU